AUUGAACGCUGGCGGCAGGCCUAACACAUGCAAGUCGAACGAGUGGCGGACGGGUGAGUAAUGUCUGGGAAACGGCCUGAUGGAGGGGGAUAACAACUGGAACCGGUAGCGAAUACCCCAUACCAGCGGAUGUGCCCAGAUGGGAUUAGCUAGUAGGUGGGGUAAAGGCUCACCUAGGCGACGAACCCUAGCUGGUCUGAGAGGAUGACCAGCCACACUUGAACUGAGACACGGGCCAGACUCCUACGGGAGGCAGCAGUGGGGAAUAUUGCACAAUGGGCGCAAGCCUGAUGCAGCCAUGCCGCGUGUAGGAAGAAGGCCUUCGGGUGGUAAAGUACUUUCAGCGGGGAGGCGUUACCCGCAGAAGAAGCACCGGCUAACUCCGUGCCAGCAGCCGCGGUAAUAC
rnacentral:rRNA from 1 species